rnacentral:rRNA from 1 species
GACGAACGCUGGCGGCGUGCUUAACACAUGCAAGUCGAACGGAAAGGCCCUGCUUUUGUGGGGUGCUCGAGUGGCGAACGGGUGAGUAACACGUGAGUAACCUGCCCUUGACUUUGGGAUAACUUCAGGAAACUGGGGCUAAUACCGGAUAGGAGCUCCUGCUGCAUGGUGGGGGUUGGAAAGUUUCGGCGGUUGGGGAUGGACUCGCGGCUUAUCAGCUUGUUGGUGGGGUAGUGGCUUACCAAGGCUUUGACGGGUAGCCGGCCUGAGAGGGUGACCGGCCACAUUGGGACUGAGAUACGGCCCAGACUCCUACGGGAGGCAGCAGUGGGGAAUAUUGCACAAUGGGCGGAAGCCUGAUGCAGCAACGCCGCGUGCGGGAUGACGGCCUUCGGGUUGUAAACCGCUUUCGCCUGUGACGAAGCGUGAGUGACGGUAAUGGGUAAAGAAGCACCGGCUAACUACGUGCCAGCAGCCGCGGUGAUACGUAGGGUGCGAGCGUUGUCCGGAUUUAUUGGGCGUAAAGGGCUCGUAGGUGGUUGAUCGCGUCGGAAGUGUAAUCUUGGGGCUUAACCCUGAGCGUGCUUUCGAUACGGGUUGACUUGAGGAAGGUAGGGGAGAAUGGAAUUCCUGGUGGAGCGGUGGAAUGCGCAGAUAUCAGGAGGAACACCAGUGGCGAAGGCGGUUCUCUGGGCCUUUCCUGACGCUGAGGAGCGAAAGCGUGGGGAGCGAACAGGCUUAGAUACCCUGGUAGUCCACGCUGUAAACGGUGGGUACUAGGUGUGGGGUCCACUCCACGGGUUCCGUGCCGUAGCUAACGCUUUAAGUACCCCGCCUGGGGAGUACGGCCGCAAGGCUAAAACUCAAAGGAAUUGACGGGGCCCCGCACAAGCGGCGGAGCAUGCGGAUUAAUUCGAUGCAACGCGUAGAACCUUACCUGGGUUUGACAUGGAUCGGGAGUGCUCAGAGAUGGGUGUGCCUCUUUUGGGGUCGGUUCACAGGUGGUGCAUGGCUGUCGUCAGCUCGUGUCGUGAGAUGUUGGGUUAAGUCCCGCAACGAGCGCAACCCUUGUUCACUGUUGCCAGCACGUUAUGGUGGGGACUCAGUGGAGACCGCCGGGGUCAACUCGGAGGAAGGUGGGGAUGACGUCAAGUCAUCAUGCCCCUUAUGUCCAGGGCUUCACGCAUGCUACAAUGGCUGGUACAGAGAGUGGCGAGCCUGUGAGGGUGAGCGAAUCUCGGAAAGCCGGUCUCAGUUCGGAUUGGGGUCUGCAACUCGACCUCAUGAAGUCGGAGUCGCUAGUAAUCGCAGAUCAGCAACGCUGCGGUGAAUACGUUCCCGGG